rnacentral:rRNA from 1 species
UACAGAGGUCUCAAGCGUUGUUCGGAUUCAUUGGGCGUAAAGGGUGUGUAGGCGGCGCGGUAAGUCGGGUGUGAAAUCUCGGGGCUUAACUCCGAAACUGCAUUCGAUACUGCUGUGCUUGAGGACUGGAGAGGAGACUGGAAUUUACGGUGUAGCGGUGAAAUGCGUAGAGAUCUGGAAGAACACCAAAAACGAAGACAACGUCCUGGCGAAUAUCUGACGCUCAUGUGCGAAAGCCAGAAAAGCGAACAGA